rnacentral:rRNA from 1 species
UACGUAGGGUCCGAGCGUUUGUCCGGAAUUACUGGGCGUAAAGCGUGCGCAGGCGGCUUCUUAGGCAUGACGUGAAAGCCCCGGGGCUCAACCCGGGAGGGUCGUCGGUGAACCGGGGGGCUUGAGGCCGGUAGAGGUGGGUGGAACUCCUGGUGGAGUGGUGAAAUGCGUAGAGAUCAGGAAGAACACCCGUGGCGAAGGCGGCCCAACUGG